rnacentral:rRNA from 1 species
UGAGGAAUCUUCCACAAUGGGCGAAAGCCUGAUGGAGCAACGCCGCGUGCAGGAUGAAGGCCUUCGGGUCGUAAACUGCUUUUAUAAGUGAAGAAUAUGACGGUAACUUAUGAAUAAGCACCGGCUAACUACGUGCCAGCAGCCGCGGUCAUACGUAGGGUGCAAGCAUUAUCCGGAGUGACUGGGCGUAAAGAGUUGCGUAGGUGGUUUGUUAAGCGAAUAGUGAAAUCUGGCGGCUCAACCGUACAGGCUAUUAUUCGAACUGGCAAACUCGAGAAUGGUAGAGGUAACUGGAAUUUCUUGUGUAGGAGUGAAAUCCGUAGAUAUAAGAAGGAACACCAAUGGCGUAGGCAGGUUACUGGACCAUUUCUGACACUGAGGCACGAAAGCGUGGGGAGCG